rnacentral:rRNA from 1 species
GUAGGGAAUAUUGCACAAUGGGCGAAAGCCAGAUGCAGCAACGCCGCGUGCGCGAUGAAGGCCUUCGGGUCGUAAAGCGCUUUUCUGUAGGACGAGGAAGGACGGUACUGCAGGAAUAAGGAUCGGCUAACUACGUGCCAGCAGCCGCGGUAACACGUAGGAUCCGAGCGUUAUCCGAAUUCACUGGGCGUAAAGAGCUGGUAGGCGGUUGGAUAAGUUGGAUGUGAAAUCUCCUGGCUCAACUGGGAGAGGCCGUUCAAGACUAUCCUGACUAGAGGGCGAUAGAGGUAGGCGGAAUUCCCGGUGUAGUGGUGAAAUGCGUAGAUAUCGGGAGGAACACCAGAGGCGAAGGCGGCCUGCUGGGUCGCACCUGACGCUCAGAAGCGAAAGCUAGGGGAGCGAACGGGAUUAGAAACCCCGGUAGUCC